rnacentral:piRNA from 1 species
UAGGUAAUCUCCUUUUUAGUGGCAG